AAAGAAUUAGUUAAAAUAAUAUUAGUAUGUCAUACUAAAGUGAUUAGAAAAAUAAAUCUAAUAUUCUUUU
rnacentral:tRNA from 1 species